AGAUUGAACGCUGGCGGCAUGCCUUACACAUGCAAGUCGAACGGCAGCGCGGGAGCAAUCCUGGUGGCGAGUGGCGAACGGGUGAGUAAUACAUCGGAACGUGCCCAAUCGUGGGGGAUAACGCAGCGAAAGCUGUGCUAAUACCGCAUAAGAUCUACGGAUGAAAGCAGGGGAUCGCAAGACCUUGCGCGAAUGGAGCGGCCGAUGGCAGAUUAGGUAGUUGGUGAGGUAAAGGCUCACCAAGCCUUCGAUCUGUAGCUGGUCUGAGAGGACGACCAGCCACACUGGGACUGAGACACGGCCCAGACUCCUACGGGAGGCAGCAGUGGGGAAUUUUGGACAAUGGGCGAAAGCCUAGAUCCAGCCA
rnacentral:rRNA from 1 species